CACGACGAACGCUGGCGGCGUGCCUAAGCUUAUGCAAGUCGAACGCGAGAUGCUCCUUCGGGAGCCGAGUAGAGUGGCAGACGGGUGAGUAACGCGUGGGUAACGUGCCCCAAGUCCUGGGAAUAACCCUCGGAAACGAGGGCUAAUACCGAAUGUGGCCCCCGAUCGGAUGAUCGGUGGCUAAAGGUGGCCUCUUCUAUGCUGCCGGGUUGGGAUCGGCCCGCGUCCCAUUAGCUAGUUGGUGAGGUAACGGCCCACCAAGGCAACGAUGGGUAGCCGGCCUGAGAGGGUGUCCGGCCACACUGGCACUGAGACAAGGGCCAGUCCCCUAUGGGAGGCGCAGGCGGGAAUAGUUCCCAAUGGACGAAAGUCUGAGGACGCGACGCCGCGUGAGCGAAGAAGGCCUUCGGGUUGUAAAGCUCUGUCAGGAGGGAAGAAGGCGCUGGGUGUUAAUAGCACCAAGCGUUGACGGUACUUCCAGAGGAAGCCCCGGCUAAAUACGUGCCAGCAGCCGCGGUAAUACGUAUGGGGCAAGCGUAGUCCGGAUUAACUGGGCGUAAAGGGCACGCAGGCGGUUCGAAAAGUCGAAGGUGAAAUCCCUGGGCUCAACUCAGGAACUGCCUUCGAUACUGGCGAACUAGAGCGGCGUAGAGGAAAGCGGAACUCCUGGU
rnacentral:rRNA from 1 species